UACGUAGGGUGCGAGCGUUGUCCGGAAUUAUUGGGCGUAAAGGGCUCGUAGGCGGUCUGUCGCGUCGGGAGUGAAAACUCAGGGCUUAACCCUGAGCCUGCUUCCGAUACGGGCAGACUAGAGUUCGGCAGGGGAGACUGGAAUUCCUGGUGUAGCGGUGAAAUGCGCAGAUAUCAGGAGGAACACCGGUGGCGAAGGCGGGUCUCUGGGCCGAUACUGACACUGAGGAGCGAAAGCGUGGGGAGCGAACAGG
rnacentral:rRNA from 1 species